CUCAGAGGAGAAGGGGAGGGGAUGGGACUGUGUGAAGGGGGACUAGGAGGAGGGAGCAGUGAUUAGGAUAUAAGGUGAAUAAAUAAAUUAAUGAGAUCAAUGAAAAAAAAAACCAGAAGUAUGGGGUAGAUGCCACAGCGUAUUAGGAAGCACCCGAAGAAGAUCCCUGUGCUGUCUCUUCGGAUGAAGCUUGUCUUAGCAGGUGUAAAACAGACCUUCCUGCCUCAACCAUUUUCACUAUCUGGUGAUCUUUUUACUCAUUUUAUUAUUAUUAUUUUUGGCAUCUAUCUCAGACCAAAACAGUUUCCAGGCUCCUUGGUGUUUUAUUUUAUCUUAUUUGUUAUUUUAUUUAGUUACAUUUCCAAUGUUGUCCUCUUUCCCAGUUUGUUCCUUGGUGCUGAAUGACCCUUGGAAUUUCUAUAGAUUGGAGUCUAGUUACACACUCCUUAAUCUGGUUUUAGUUAAGAGCAAUUAGGAAGCUUUCCAGGUUCCUCCAUUUGUAGUCUUCAUCUCCCCUAAAAUGGACCUUGAGCUUAAUUUUAUUGCUCCCACUACAUUUUGUCACGGACAAAAUUCCUUCCUUUGGAUUGCAACUAACAGUGUAUUGUUUUUUGAAGGUAUUUUUACUCUAAAGUUAAGAAAACAAACUUAAGAGCAGAGUUCUGUAACACAUAGAUUUCCUGGUGGGCACAGCUUGCGUUCUCCCAAUUCACUCAUGGGCCAAUUUAUACGAUUUUAAUGGGUUUCAGUGAGGCCCUUCAUCAGGAAGAUGAAGACAGUAUUGACUUUGGUCUCACAGACUCCAAAUAUGUAUAUUCCCCAAAGUAUUGUGCAUAUGAAUAAUUGAUCAGGACAGCCCUAGGUGCACUGGCUACUGACACUGUGUUUGGUUGCCUUUGCCCACUCUUACUAGAUGGCAAGACCCUGUUGCUGAAGGCAUACACACCUUGGCUACAGGACAUAGAGAAAUUAGACAGGAACUGACAUGGAAACUGUCUCCCUGUUCAUUUGUUUUCAUAGCGCCAGAAAAUGCUAUACAGGCUGCUGGGGUAGGGGGAAGCCACCAGUGGUGUUACCCAGCAGUAAAUCCUGUGUGCUAAAACUGACCUGUCAGGCAAGAUGUGCCCAAUGCAAUACAAUAGAGGUAUGGCGGUAAUUGGGACAACCAACCACUUUCUGAUUGGAUUAGAGGUCUGCUCCACAGGAAAGAACUCUUUCUUGGCAAUGUGAACCUGGGCAAAAGCUGAUGUCCCCGGAGGUCAUAGGCCUGAAGUGGGGAACCUCUAACUGUUGUUUUGGUAAAUGGACGUGUUGUCAAACUACCUUCUCAGUACUUACAUUCAUAACCAUAGAUCUGUGGUGCUCUCAGCUUCUGCAGUGGGCUGAAGUUAAUUCAGAGACUCAAAAAACCAAAGGGCUGAGAAAAAGUGAUUCCUGAGUGCUCAGCCCGAUGUGGGACAGCUACAUCAACCCCCUAUAAGGCUUAAGGAACACCAUGAAAGAAGGAGCGGACAUACUCUAAGAAGCAGAGGAUGGGAAGGAACGAGUGAUAGUACAGGGAUACUGUAGAGGAGCUUCUGAUGAUUAAGGAAGGGGAGGUAGGUCUGCUCCAGAAUCAGGAGAUUCCUCAUCCUUUAGGUUGGGGUGCUGUACUGAGGUCCUCAUGGGUCAUAAUCUCCUCUAUGGCCUUUGGAGUAUAGAACCCAGGGUAAGUUCUAAUCCUGCUGUUGCCUACUGAGUGAACUUCCCUAGCAUCUGCUUCCCUUGACUGUGUAAUGAAAACUGGCGGUGAUAAUUUGUGGAUACUCCGAUGCUGUAUUGCACAAGCGAUGGCUAAUGCUACCACAGCCGUGGUCUUCCAGCCUCUCAGACUGGCAGCAUGAUCCCUGGCACUCUUUCCCGUUGAUGAUAUUCUUCAGCGUCUUCAUCUUCCCAGGGUUCCAGACGAGUCAGGGGGAUGGAGAGGACCAAGGGAGACCCGUGGAGCAUAUGCAGUGGUCUGACUAAGCACGCCUUUGUGUAAGUGAAGGGGUGUAGGGACAGACCCACUUCCAGGAAGAGAAGUUCUGGUUGUCUGGUCCCUCAUGCACAGAGGAGCAGGCCUAUAUCAGAACAAACACUAGGUGGCAGUAUGCAGCGCAGUGGGGCACAUCUGAUGGGCCUGUGGCUGUCUGUAUCCUCUGCUCAUAGGUUGAGCGUUCUAGGGCUAAAGAAAAAGGGAAUGGAAUUGAACCAGUUGUCAGUAGGUCCUGGGAGACUUCGUUGAUCAUGUGACCCACACAGAACUCUGUUCUCUUCACACAGGGUUGCUUUCACUGUUUAUUCCACUUGACACGUGUGUGUGUGUGUGUAUGUGUGUGUACAUGUGUCUAUAAAACAGAGGUCAGUGUCAUAGGCCUUCCUCCAUUGAUCUCCACUUUAUUCCUUGUGACAGAGUCUCUCACUAAACCUGGAACUUACUCUUUUGGCUAGUUUGGCUGCCCAACAGGCUCUGGGGAUCCUCCUGUCUCUGUUUCCCUAAUGUUGGGAUUAUAGGCAGACAUUACCAUACCUUGCUUUUUAUGUGAGCACUGGGGACCUGAAUUCAGGGCCAUAGGCUUUUUCAGGAAGUGUGACACUGACAGAGCUACCUCCCCAGGCCCUAUUCUGCUCUUAACUGGGGUCUUCUAACCUGACCCAGAAGAGGAUUGACCAAAGACACAGGAACCACUGCAGAUAUUGGUGUCCUAGGAUAUGGGCAGACAGUAGAGUGUAAUAUGGAUGGAUCAGUCUCCUGGACCGUUUCUCCAAGGAUGCUAAGUCCUACAGGAUGACACUCACUACUGACUCACAGAAGAAAGAGAGGGGAAGGGACUUGGCUUACCUUGGUCACCAGUUCUGGCCCAGAUAUUCUGCAUGAAGUCUUUUUAAUCUUCAAACCUCUAGGAUAGGUAUGAUUUUUUGUCCUUAGAGAUUAAGAAGCUGAGAUCUAGGUAGCUAGAAGAACUUACUGCUCAUUUGCUUGUGAGUAUUAGAGCCACAACUCAAACUCUCUGACUUAGAAACAUCAUACUUUGCGGCCUUGCCAUCAGAUCUGAGGUAUACUCCCUUUACCAGAGCUAGAAAAGGACACCCCCACUCACACCCUGGACCCCUGGCUCAGCUGGGAUUCCCUGUGGCUCUGGCUCCUUCACCAGUGGGUCUAUGUAUGGAGAGGCAUUUGAUCCUCAUGAGUUUGAGGCAACUCCUUUUCAGUGAGCAGAGGAAUCCUCAGAACAACAGGGAGAGGCAUCAGAAAAGGAAGAUGAGGAAGAGGCAGGGCAAGGGUGGAGAGCAAAUGUGUAACUAAAGGGGUUCCUGUAAUGAAGGCAACACUGUAAGAGCUUUGCAAAUGGCUUCUGGAGGCCAUUAGGAAACAGAGCUGAAGCACACCGCAGCACCCUGGGAUAGGAACUCUUUUCUCUGCCCUUUGACUAUUGGCAUCUGGAACUAGAGUGCCCAGAGGUUCUAUAUUCUUACUGAGAGGUUCUAGGGCUUUUGUUUCAUGCACAUUUCUAUCCUGUGGGUGCACAGUCCCAGGUCCACACAAGCCGCUUCUCCUGCCUUCGUGUGAACACUCACCACUCUCUAAACCUGCGUCUUCCAAACUAAGACCUCAGCUAGAGCCCUUUUUACUUUACAGUUUUGGAGUUUGGAUUGAUCAGUGAAGGAAAGGGACUUAGUAAAGGGGAGAGGAAGAAGGGGACAAAGGAGGAAGUUAUCAGCCGAGAAGUUAAAAUCCGAAAGAAAGGAAAUCUAGAAAGAAAGCGAGGAGGGAGACAGCCUUCCCUGGAGCCCUCAGCUGGAGUUACAAAUUGUGAUGAGAAGGAGGGGCAGGUUACCUCUGGGUGUGCAGGUGUCCUCCAAACACCCAGGAAUCUAGGGGGCAGAGUGGCAUUUUGGUAUAGAGCUGGGUCCCAGUUUAUUCUGGAAACUGACAUUGGUUUCAGCUGUUCACAGUUGAGCUGCAGGCCUGGGGAUGGGUGUUGAUAGAGUGCUGACCAGUAAGCAGCAAGCCUUGAGUUCAGUCCCCAGCACACCGGCCAUAAAUCUCAGCAUGUGUGGAAGUGGAAGUAGAGAGGAGGCCAGAAGUUCAAGAUCAUCACUAGUGAGGCCAGUCAAGGCUAAUAGAGACCCUGUCUCAAAAACCAAACAAAACUAUGGAGUGACUGAUCAUUUAAAGCCUUGUCCCACUCUUGAGUCUUCCCAGGGUCUCGUGAGCCACAUCACGUGAGCACAGCAGCAGGUGCCUGCCUUGGAACGUGUGAGAGAAGUCAUGCCCUGACUUGUGAGGCUGCACUGAAUGCCCCCACACGGGUUUCUGGCAAGCCUUCUGGGGCCAUCCAGCCAACUCCCCCAAGAGUCACCUGGCAUGACAACGCUGUUUGCCUUUUGCCAGCUGUCAUUCCAUUAGCGUUUUGUGUCUAACCCAAAAGCCUUCAGCAGCAGCUAGCACCACUUCUCUGUCCCUGAUUGGGAGGGGAAAAUGCAUUGAAAAGCAAAUUGCUUUUCCAGUCACAGGUCUUUGGCUCUGGGAGGCUCCAGGCUGGGUGAGAGAACAGCUGGAGUCCUCCAGGGAGCUUCCCCACACUCGGCCCCAGUUAGUCUUCCCAGAGCCUUUCUGCAGGCCAAGCCACAGGGAGGCAAUGAAGAUUCAGGCCAGUGGCUUGUGGAGAGGAUGCACUUUGCAUAUUUUUCUGAGACCUGGCGUGAAGUAGGGAUGAACAGCACUAGGCCUGGAGGAAAACAGCUUGGUGACCUGAAGAUGUGCCCACAUUUGGCAUUAAAGAGGGGGAAGAUCUUCAGGCGCUCUCAUCAAACCUCCUGACACAACAAUUCUGCUGUCCUGGAAAAUCAAGAUUCUGCAUGGUGUUUUGAAGCUAAUUUGUCAGGACCACUUGUUUAUUUGACUUUCCAAAUAAAUUUCCUUUUAACAGAAGGAAUGCCUUUAGUUACGCUCCCAAUUUUAUGAGGCUCGGCUGAAUCUCUUUUCACUGGCUAAAUUAUAACAAGACUAGUGAGGUCAUAGGCAGUGGGUUAAUUAUAGCGAGGAGGGAGAGGCAAAUCCAACCUUUUUUGAUAAACACAGCUUAGCUACUUUAAGUGAACAAUUUUCUACCGCAAACAUUUUCACACAUGUUGCCUCUGACAGCAAACUUCAGUGGUCUCUUGGUUACAAGCUGGCAGUUCUUAGAACUCUUAAACUAUUCAGUAUUAUAGGAAAGUUCCUUGAAUUUCCCCCUUUCCCACCCCCCACAAUAGACUUAGAUGGAAACUUGACUGUAAGCUGACAAGAAGUAUGGGUUUAACCAAAUUUUUGUUUCUGAUAUGUAAAUAUUUUCUAACCUUUUUCAUCUGUCAAUCCAAGUCCCAGGCUAACCUAAGGUUUCACAUCCUCAAAAUGCUUAUGUCAAUAUCUUCUUUACUUGAUGUUUUUUUCAUUAGGUACCAUUUAAUAAAGGUUGAACAAAGGAAUCUUGAAUAUACAUAUAUAAAUAAUGUAUAUGGACUAGAUAUAUGCAGAAAGCUAGGGAAUGAAACAGUAUUUGCUGAGAGAUACUCUGUAGAACAAGGAGGGUAGACUUAGAAGCAGAGAAAGUAAAGAGGCAGCUGGUUCUCAGUCUGGUCCUUUUGUUGCAUGGCAGUUUCAGGAUGUUUUAAAAUGAGGUGGAAAUUCCAUCCUGAGGAUGCUAAUUAAGGUUCAGCAAGUUCUGAAGGUAGGUUUCUUAAGUCUCAGGAAGGAAACAACUUGGAAGCCUCAAGAAGUCCCUGAAAUUGACCAGGUACACAAGGCCCCACCCCUCGUAAGCUUAGGUUAACAGUAAGGAUUGCUGAAGAGAUCAGAUCAGCCAAGCUGUCCAAAGGAGGCUCAGACUAACGGUGCUGACCAAAGAGGUUUACAUUAGCUGAGUUGGCUAGAAGAGAUACUCUCUGACCUCUCAAGCUGCCUCAAGUUACGCAGUGAACUCCAGGGUUCCAGGUCUAAUGAGUUGUCACCUAUGCUGGGGUGGGCUUUUGAAGAUGAGUCAUUUUUGCUCUCCCCUCUCCCAUACUCCUGUAAAUAACCCCCACAAACUCAUUGGUUCAUCAGGUUGGGCUUCUGUGGUCUCCUUACUUUAGUCUGUCAUCAAUUUCCUAUCUGGGGUGAGUAGAUAUUUGUUCAGGUCUCUUCAGGAAUAGUUUCACAUAAUACUUCUGUGCUCUCUGAGACCCAAGAGCAAAGGCCCUCCGUGUAAAGAAACAAAGCAUAGCAGACCAUCCACGGCUAACAUUUUGGAAUUAUAAAGGGAAGUAUGGUGGCUUUUUUGUCUAGUUCUAGACCAAUAUGUGAUCUAUUUGGUGGAAUUAUGUCUGUUAUGUUACUCCCAAUGAGUACAACAUCUACUCUGGAGUCUGGUAUACAGUGUAGGACUAGUUAAUAUUGAACAGUUAGAUGCAAUGAAUCAGUAGCCCCACUGGGUGAAGGUAGAGCUCACUCUUUCCCAAGGUGUCUUCAGUAUUUGUCCCAGAAAAUGUUCUAGUGGCUACAAUCUUUAUGGACUCUCCUUUCAUAACUAGGACUACAUAGUAAAUAGCUAGGACUCCUGCCAUCUGGUGCCUUUCUGCCUCCUUUGGACUUUGGUAUUAAGGUGAUGGUGGAAUAAUUAGGAGCUGGCUGCUCACAGAUUAUCCUUCCUGGUCAUUCUAGAGAUGGAAUAGCAUCCAUCUGGGUAACAGGCUGAGUAUAUGAUGUACAGUAUGCUGGGUUGCUCAUUUCUUAGAUCAGUGACUCAAAGUAUUGUCUCUGCCCUUACCUGAUGAACUCUUCUGAUGUCCCUGGGAAAGGAGGGAUGGUUCUAUUUUUCACCAGGCUAAGAUUUGGCACUCUUUCUGUAGAGGACUUCAGUAGCUGUCUUGAUAAUCAACUUGACUGGAUUAAGAAAAUCUUAGGGGAUUAAUGAAGCCCUUUGUGUUUCUCUGGGAAUGAGGCUUGGCUAGUCUCCAUGACUAAUCCCUCAAGGACCUCAAAUGAGAUGGUACUUUGGGGAGGAGGUGAGAGGGGUAGUAAGGCAGCAAGUUGGAAGAAGUGUGUGACUCGCUGGGAGAGCAUCUUGCUCUGGCCAUUUCCUGUAUGGUACCUUCCCCUGGUUUCCAGCUGCCAAGAAGUGAAGGACUUCGACUGACACAUGUUCCUGCUGUCAUGAUGUUCUGCUCAUGUGACCAUGGCCCGAAUCCUCUGAAACCAUGAACUGAAAUAAUAUUCCCUUUUUUGUUUCCAUUAGGUAUUUGGUCACAGUAGUGAAAAUCUAACACACAGAGGGAUGAUAUAGCAAUGCUUUACUGUUUGUGACUCAUAAAACAAUAGGGUUGGUCUGCUAAAGGAACAUAACAAUAAAAUUACUUCAAAGCCAUUCUCCUAUAAUCACGGAUCAGUGGCUGACCCAGCCAUCGUUGGUGGAGCUUUCUCCUGCAGUUGGGUAGGAACUCAUGAGAGACCUUGAAAUACUCAGUCCUAGACGGGAUGUCUUCAUCAAACUCCUCUGCUCAAGACUCAGGGAAUUGAGUGAGUAAGAGGGGAAAGAUUGGAAGAGCCAGUGGGGAUAAAGGACCCCAAGGAAACAGUGAGUGCCCUCUAAACACAGCAGGGCUGACACAUAUGAAUUCAGAGACUGUGGCAACAUGCCAGGGCCUGCACAGGUCCAAGCCAGAAGGGGUCUCUAUACUGAAAGGGGAGCUGGACAACCCUCCCCCCAACUCUAACCCAGAACCUACCUCCAAUUGAUAUGUGCUCACUAAGGAAAAACUAGUUUUCUCCAACGGAGUCACACUGGGCAUACAUACUAAGGGAGGCCUCAUGCCCAUUAGUAGAUGGUCAUCAUAAAUGAACUCAGUGGUUUUCUGAAGAUGUUUUAUCUCAUAAUGUUUAAUUUUUGUUUUGGGACACUUUUUGCCUUACUUGUCUCUUGCUUUGCGCUCUCUCUCUCUCUCUCUCUCUCUCUCUCUCUCUCUCUCUCCUUAUUUUGGGAGGGGCUCUGGGAAAGAGCUGAGAUGUAAGAGGGAAAACCAUAAACAAAAUGUACUGUGUGAAAAAGCUAUUUCCAAUAAAAAAGAUUUGUGGCCCAGGCAA